AACGAACGCGUGGCGGCAGGCCUAACACAUGCAAGUCGAGCGAGACCUUCGGGUCUAGCGGCGGACGGGUGAGUAACGCGUGGGAACGUGCCCUUUGCUACGGAAUAGCCUCGGGAAACUGGGAGUAAUACCGUAUGUGCCCUACGGGGGAAAGAUUUAUCGGCAAAGGAUCGGCCCGCGUUGGAUUAGGUAGUUGGUGGGGUAAUGGCCUACCAAGCCGACGGUCCAUAGCUGGUUUGAGAGGAAGGUCCCCCACAUUGGAACUGAGACACGGUCCAA
rnacentral:rRNA from 1 species